CAUUACCGAAUUGUCGACACGAGUUGUUGCUGGUCCCCAAACGGGGGCACGUGCACGCUCUGUUUGUACAUCCAUUCACACCUGUGCACCCCAUGUAGUUCUGUGGUUUGGGGGACUCUGUCCUCUCGCCGUGGUUCUAUAUCUUUACACACGCUCUGUAAUAAAGUCUCAUGGAAUGUAUGCAGCGUUUAACGCAAUACAAUACAACUUUCAGCAACGGAUCUCUUGGCUCUCGCAUCGAUGAAGAACGCAGCGAAAUGCGAUAAGUAAUGUGAAUUGCAGAAUUCAGUGAAUCAUCGAAUCUUUGAACGCACCUUGCGCCCUUUGGCUAUUCCGAAGGGCAUGCCUGUUUGAGUAUCAUGAACACCUCAACUCUCAUGGUUCGCCGUGAUGAGCUUGGACUUUGGGGGUCUUGCUGGCCUGCGGUCGGCUCCCUUCAAAUGAAUCAGCUUUCCAGUGUUUGGUGGCAUCACGGGUGUGAUAAAUAUCUACGCUUGUGGUUUCCGGAGGAUCAUUUCCGAAUUGGUGGCACGAAGUGGUGGUUGGUCCCAAACGGGGGCAAGUGCCCGGUUUGGUUGUACCAUCCAUUACCCCUUGGCACCCCNAGGAGGUUUGGGGGUUGGGGGGAUUCGUUCUUUUGCCGGGGUUUUAUAUUUUUACCCCCGGUUUGUAAUAAAAUUUCCAGGAAAGGAAGCAGGGUUUAAAGCCAUUCCAUUCCAAUUUUAGCAAAGGAUUUUUUGGGUUUUGGCUUGGAGAAGGAAGCAAGGAAAAUGGGUAAGUAAAGGGAAAUGCCGAAAUCAAGGAAUUCUUGGAUUUUUGAACGCCCCCUGGGCCCCUUGGGUUUUUCGAAGGGCCAGCCUGUUUGAGGAUUCAGAACCCCUUAAAUUUCCAGGUUUGCCGGGGGGAGGCUGGGACUUGGGGGUUCUGGUGGCCUGCGGUUGGCUCCCUUCAAAAGAAUUCACUUUCCCAGGUUUGGGGGCCUCCCGGGGGGGAAAAAAAUUNACGGCUGGGGGUUUCCGCCAGGUAACCUUCAGUGAUGGAGGUUCGCUGGGGCUCAUAAAUGUCUCUCCUCAGCGAAGACAG
rnacentral:misc_RNA from 1 species